rnacentral:rRNA from 1 species
UACGUAGGGUGCAAGCGUUGUCCGGAAUUAUUGGGCGUAAAGAGCUCGUAGGCGGCUUGUCGCGUCGACUGUGCAAACCCGCGGCUCAACUGCGGGCUUGCAGCCGAUACGGGCAGGCUAGAGUUCGGUGGAGGGAGACGUGAAUUCCUGGUGUAGCGGUGAAAUGCGCAGAUAUCAGGAGGAACACCGGUGGCGAAGGCGGGUCUCUGGGCAACAACUGACGCUGAGGAGCGAAAGCGUGGGGAGCGAACAGG